UAAUACGGAGGAUGCAAGCGUUAUCCGGAAUUAUUGGGCGUAAAGCGUCCGCAGGUGGCUCAUCAAGUCUGCUGUCAAAGGCAGGGGCUUAACCCCUGAAAGGCAGUGGAAACUGGAGAGCUAGAGUGCAGUAGGGGUAGAGGGAAUUCCCGGUGUAGCGGUGAAAUGCGUAGAGAUCGGGAAGAACAUCGGUGGCGAAAGCGCUCUGCUGGACUGCAACUGACACUAAAGGACGAAAGCUAGGGGAGCGAAUGGGAUUAGAUACCCCAGUAGUCCUAGCCGUAAACGAUGGAUACUAGGUGUGGCUUGUAUCGACCCGAGCCGUGCCGUAGCUAACGCGUUAAGUAUCCCGCCUGGGGAGUACGCUCGCAAGAGUG
rnacentral:rRNA from 1 species